UACGUAGGGUGCGAGUGUUAAUCGGAAUUACUGGGCGUAAAGCGUGCGCAGGCGGUUUUGCAAGCCGGAUGUGAAAUCCCCGGGCUCAACCUGGGAAUGGCAUUCGGGACUGCAAGGCUGGAGUGCGGCAGAGGAGACUGGAAUUCCUGGUGUAGCAGUGAAAUGCGUAGAUAUCAGGAGGAAUACCGAUGGCGAAGGCAGGUCUCUGGGCUGACACUGACGCUCAUGCACGAAAGCGUGGGGAGCAAACAGG
rnacentral:rRNA from 1 species